rnacentral:lncRNA from 1 species
UUGCAAUUCUGGGAGCUGUAAUGCUACAGAUUUCUCAAGGUUUUUCAAGACUAGGUGCCCUGAUGCUUAUAGCUACCCUAAGGACGAUCAGACAAGCACCUUCACAUGCCCUGGCGGUACCAAUUAUGAAGUUAUCUUCUGCCCAUCAGCAGUGCCACAAACAUGUGUUUUUAUUAUAAAUUAAUUUGUGGUAAAAAAAACAUUUUGUGUUACAAGAUUUUUUUUCCACAAAAAAAUAUUUCCGACCAGUUUGUUGCUACAAAUUCGUAAACAAUUAUUUUUAAUCACAAAAUUUAAUUUUAUAAUAAAAUAAAUAAUUUUUUCAUAAAAUAAAUUUUAUAACAAAAUAUCAAUAUUCACCAUUAAAUAAAAUUUAUGAUAAAAUGUCAUUUUUCACCGUAAAAUAAAAUUUGUGACAACACAUCGUUUUUCAUGAAAAUAAUUACGAUAAUAUGCGACUUUUUUGUUAUAAAAAAAUUCAUGAUAAAAAAUUACCCUUCUACCAAAAAACAUUAAUUGUAACGGUCCAAACCACUGGUCUUGACAAGGAAAUAUGACAUACAGUCAAGGAGGGUUUGCUUAAAAGUCAUUAUCCUACUUGGAAACUACCUCCCUUAUUGGGGUACAUGGCAUUUUUUUAAUAAUAUUUGACUCACUUUUCCGGGAAACCUAGUUGUAGAAGUCCAAACAGGUUGCUUUUCAGGGGAAUUCACGGCAUAAAUAGAAAAGAAAGUUGCCAGAAAUGCCCUAACUGAUUAAAAUCAUUACCUUUAAUUGCAGAGAAUUAUGUCUAUCAAUUAAAUAAAUUAUAAAUAUAUGUUUGAAUUGAUUUUUAAGAAAUUGAAUGGUUUUUUAAGUUCAAUAAGAAUUUUAAUAUUGAUUUAACUAAUUUUAUUUAAAAAGCUUAUGAUUUAAAAAAUAGUUUUAUAUGAUUUAGAUAAGAAAUUAUUUAAUAUUUAAUAUAAGUUUUAUAAUACUAAUAUUAUGUAUUAAAAAUUAUGAUUUUGGUUGGACUCUCAACAUUUAGUUAAAUCUAAAAGUAGAAAACUAUUUCAAACAAAGUCAUGUUUUCUAUUUCAUUAUUAAUUAAUAUAUAUUUUUUUUAAUUCGGAUGUGAAAAGGUGUUUCAAAGUUUAAGAUUGUCUAAUAUUUUAAAUCAAAAUCUCAAUACUUAAAUUAAAGAAAAAUUUAGAUCGUAUUUAUUUGUUUAAUUGAAUAGAAAAAAUUAAAAUAUUUAAUUUUUUUAAUUUUAAUUAAAAGUAAUCUAUUUAUAUUAAUCAAUAUAACGAAAUCGAAUAUAUUGAUAAUAAAUUUACUUUAAAUAUCUUAAUUGAUAUUAAUAUAUUACUUGAACUGAAAAAACUAAAAAGCAAAAAAUAAACUCCACACUUAAAAAGAUUCUGGGCCAUGGAUACAGAAGCCCAAAAGAUUUAUUGAUGGGGGCAGUGGGCCUGGCCUGCCGUGUGCAGCUGCAUUUGUUUGACUUGUCCUCAAGCCUAGUCAACGUCUCCGUUCAAUGAAGCUGAUGUAUCGAAAAAUCCCAAAAAGCCUCAUUUUUCCCGCCAAACGCGUAAACCCCAAAAUGAGUUUCUUCUGCAACUGCAGCAAUCUCUCUACUUCCUUCUUCCUCCUCAUCUUCAUCAAUGCAACCAUUUUCGAAAUCCGAAACAGCUGCCCCUAUACCGUCUGGGCAGCCGCCUUACCCGGCGGCGGAAGGUAACUCGACCAAGGCCAGACCCGGAACCUUUCAGUGAGCUCCAACACAACCCAAGGCCACAUCUGGGGCAGAACCAAGUGCAGUUUCGAUGAAGCCGGAAGGGGGAACUGCGAGUCCGGUGGAUGUGGAGGCCUCCUUGAAUGCCAAGAAUAUGGUUCACCGCCCAACACCAUUGCCGAGUACGCCAUAAACCAAUUCAACAAAACUGAUUUCUUCGAUAUUUCUCUGGUGGUUGGAUUCAACCUUCCAAUGGAGUUUAGCCCAACUUCUGAUGGGUGCAAACGUGGGGUCAAGCGUACGUGCGACAUUAACGGGCCGUGCCCAAACGAGUUGAGGGACCCGGGUGGGUGUAACAACCCAUGUACCGUUUUCAACAAUACUCAGUACUGUUGCAAUACCGGGAGCUGUUAGCCUACACCUUCAUGUUUUUCAAGGCUAGCUGCCCAGAUGUAUACAGUUACCCUUUGGGAGAUGAUUCAAUCGGUACGUUUACCUGCGCCGCAUGCACUAACUAUCGUAUAGUCUUCUCCGAGUUUUGGGGUAGCCCAAAGUUUAAACCUUUUUGCAAAACUUACAAUCAAACUCGUCCUUUUUAUUAUCACCUAGAGUCAUAUUAUGUUUUUUUUUUCAAAAUUUAAGUUGAAAAUUUUAUUUUUGAAUUGAAGCCAUAAUUAAUAACCAAGACUUCAUUUUGAACGGAAACCUCAUUUGAUAAGUGAGACUUAGUUUUUUAAUUAAAACCUCAUUUUGACAAUUAAAACUUCAUUUAUUAAACUAAAACCUUAAUUGUGACUUUAGUUAUUUUUUUUACUUUAAAAUUUAAUUAAAAAUAUUAAAUUUCAAAUUAUUAUUGAAAUUAAAAAUAUUUACUUUAAUAAUAAAAAAUUAUAUAUUUAAGUUUAAGGAUUCAACAUUAUUCUAAUAAAGAUAAAUUGAUAAAUAAAAUAAAUAAAUGAAUAAUUUUAUUUAUCAAUAAAUUAAUAAUUUUAAAAUAAUAAAGUUAUAUAAUAUAUAAAUAAAAUAUAAAAUUAUAUAAUUUAUUAAUUUAAGUUAUAUUACAAAUACUAUAUGUUACCGGGCAACUAAAAAGGAAGAAAGUUAUGUAUAGGUUCUCUCUUUGUAAAGACACGUAAGAUUAUAUAAUUUUCUUUUUUACUAUAUGAAUAUUUAGUAAACAAUUUUUGUGACAUAGAUGAAACUACUAAAACUUAUAUUUUGUAGUAAACAUUUUUUAAUUAAUUUUAUUAGCUAAUUUUAAAAUGUAUCUUCAAGGCAUAUAUGUUGUGGGUAUAAAUAAUAAUUUUUUUUUAAUGAAAAAUUAUAAACAUAUACUUUAAAAUAAUAAUAAAAUCUAUAUAUAAAAGCUUAAGAAUAUACUAUUAUUUUAAUAAAGAUAAAUUUGUGAAAAUACAAAUAAAUUAAUAUCUUAAAAAUAAAACAAAUUAAAUAUCUUAAAUUAAUAAAUUAUAUAAUUUUAUAUCUUAUUAUAUUUAUCAAUUUAUCUUUAAACCUAAGUCCUAAGUCCAAGGUUUAAAUAUUUUAUUAUAUUUAUUAAUUUAUCUUUAUUGAAGUAAUACUAGAUUUUUAAGUUUAAACAUAUAAUUAAUUUAUUAUUAAAGUAUAUAUUUUUAAUUUCAACAAUAAUUUAUAAUUUAAUAUUUUAAUUAAAUUUUAAAGUAAAAAAAUAAUUAAUUGAAGCUUCAAUUGAAAAUUAAGACUUUAAUAAAAAAAUGAAGUCUCAAUUAUCAAUUGUGAAUUCAAUUUAAAAAUGAGGUAUGAUUUGACAAUUAAGGUUUCAGUUUAUAAAUGAAACCUUAAUUGUCAAUUGUGGUUUUAGUUCAAAAAUAAACCCUCAAUUGAUAAUUGAGGUUUUACUUAAAUUUUAAAAUAUAUAUAUAUUAUGAUACGACUCUUAUGUGACAAUAAAGGACUAGUUUGAACAUAAAUUUUAUAAAAAUGUUAAAUCUUACAUUUCUUUUUAUACAAGCUUAUUUAUUUUUGUUUCUUAAAAAAAAAAAAAUUAUCAGCUUCCCUUGAUAAGAUUUGAGGAAAAACAAAGAUGAGGUAGGAUUGGCUCUUCCAUGCCUCUAAGUCGAGCACCAUCUUUUAGAUUUUAACAAAGCUUAUUGCUAAAAUAUUUUCAUUUAGGGUCAUUAACUUUAACUUAGGGUUCAUCGAGGAACUUUUUCAGAAAUAAUUCUUAAAAAGUAAUUCUCAAGAAUAACUUUUAAAAAUAAUAUUUUAAUAUUUUUAAAAUAAAAAGUUUUGAAGAGCUUAGAAUAUUGUCAAUUUUUUUUUAUAUUUUUAAAUAUUUCUUAAAAAUAAUUCCUAUUUAUAAUACCUUAUUUUAAGACAUUCUUCGUGUUUAUUCAAUAAUUCCUAAAAAGUAAUUAAAAUAUAAUAUAUGUAAAAAAAAUCACUUUUCAUAGUUUUAGUUUUAAAUUUAUAAUUAACAAUCGAAUGUGUUUUUAUACUUUUUUUAUUCUAAAAACCAAAAAGAUAAAUCCUUAAUAGAAAUUUUCAAACAUUGUUUUAGUGUCCCACCCCAAGUCCACCUUCGCUCUAUAUAAACUCCUAGCCAUUUCCUCACGGACCACCCCAAACCAUAAAGCCCAUCUUCCUGAAAAAAUGGGCCUCUUCAAAACCCCUUUAAUUUCCUCAUUCCUUCUCACCACCCUAUUCUUCGCCUCCUGCCACGCAGCCACGCUGAUCAACAUCCAAAACCAUUGCUCCUACACAGUUUGGGCGGCGGCGGUACCAGGUGGGGGCAGGCAGCUUGGUCCGGGCCAAUCCUGGAGCCUCGAUGCGAACCCUGGCACAGCCCGUGUGUGGGCACGUACCAACUGCACCUUUGAUGGGUCAGGGAACGGGACGUGUGAGACCCGAGAUUGUGGUGGCCGCCUCCAAUGCCAAGCCUAUGGUACACCCCCUAACACCUUGGCCGAAUUCGCACUUAACCAAUUCAACAACAUGGACUUCUUCGAUAUAUCUUUGGUUGAUGGAUUUAAUGUGCCCAUGGCUCUUAAUUCUACUUCCAAUGGGUGCACCCGUGGCAUCCAAUGCAGCGCCGACAUAGUCGGACAGUGCCCUGAUGAGCUCCGAGCUCCCGGUGGUUGCAACAAUCCAUGCACUGUUUUCAGGACCGAUGAAUAUUGUUGUUAUUCUGGGAACUGUGGCCCUACAACUUACUCCAAGUUUUUCAAGGAUAGGUGUCCGGUGGCUUAUAGCAACCCUAAUGAUGAUCAAACAAGCACCUUUACAUGCCCUGGUGGUACUAACUAUGAUGUUAUCUUCUGCCCAUGAUGCCUCUACUAGUCCUGUUAGACGAUUUGGUACCAUCUUGGGAUCCAAAUGUCUAGAAGAAUAAAUUUGAGCACAUGUCCAUGUCCAUAGUCAUGUAAUAAGAUUUCUACCAUCAUAGAAAUCGAAUGAUUUUCAGAGGGGUUAGAAGCUUUGAAUAAUGUUUAAAUGUGCUUUACUUAUAAAAGUUUAGAACUAAUUCUUCAUAAAAAUAAUUUUGUCCAAGUGUUAUUGUUUAAGAGUUUAUUUGAUAUUGAAUUAUGAAAGUAUUUUGAAUUAUUUUAACAUUUAAAAAAUAAUUUUUCUUUAAAUAUUAAAAAAUUUAAAAAUGCUUCUUAUAAUUAUUAUCAAAUAAACUCUAAAUACUAUAUAUUAAAAACAUAAUUACUAGAAUGACCUCUAAAUGAAUUCAUAUUUUAAGUACACCGAGAAUGAUAGAAUUCAGUAAUGGUGUUUUAAAUUAAAUUGGUAAAUAUUUUGGGAUUUUCCAUUUGAAUAAUUUUUAGAAGUGAAUAAAUUAUUUUUCAGCUCUAACAUAAACAAAUCCUGUUAUUGUGGUGUGGAAAAACCUUUGCUCAAGAGUCAAGAGCGGUGGUGGAGGCUUGAGUUACGUACCCAAGUUGAAUUUUUGUAAAAGGAUGUGGAGGAGUAGAGUACAAGGAAAAUUGAUUUGCGGACAAGACCAGUUAGUUAGUGAAGCUUGAUUAAAGUCGAAGUUUUGGUGUUUUCUCCCAAGACUUCCUUUGUAGUGGUCCAAAAAAUUGGUAAGGAAAUAUGACAGACAUCGAAAGAGGAUUUGGCUAAAAGUCAAUAACUAUUUGGAGCUAUGUUCCCUUCUCGGGGCGAUGGCGUUUGCUAGUAAUCUUUGACUCGCUCUUCCCCGUAGCUUCCAUAGCAGUCCAAACCGGUUGCUUGUUCAAGGAAAACACCGUAUAAAUAAGAGGGAAGUGGCUAAAAGUCUAACUAAUUAAAAUCGUAGUCAUUUAUUGUGUGGAAUAGCGGGACACAUACGUAUUGAAGUUGAACUUGUCCAUCAAUUAAAUCUAAUACAAUUUUCUUUUUCAAUCCAACUAUUACGUAAUAAAUUUUAAAUUUCAAAUAUAUUUGCUUUUAAAAUUUACUCAAACCAAUUUAAUAACUUACAAAUAACUAAUUCAAUAACUUGGACUUCUUUAAUAUAGUAUUGUCCAAGCAUAUAUUUGAUAUGUCUUUAAUUUAUUUUUAAUUGUGCUUCUAAGCUACGUUUGGUUCUCGAAAAAUUUGAGAGAAAAUUUAAAAGAAAAAAAUUACAGAUGAAAAAAAAUAAAAAAUAGUUUAAAUAUAAUAAAUUAUAUUUGAUUUGAUUUUCUAUUUUUUUUUAUAGUGAAACAAAAUAUGAGAAAACCAUUUUUAUUAAUAUUUUUUUUCUUUAGAACACUUUCCAACAUAACUUACCAUUUAUUUUUUUGGUCAUGCAAAAGUUGAUGUAAAAAAUAUAGUUAGUCUCUCUUAUAUCAUUCAUUUGAAAUUGAGUAGAUUAAUGGUGUUUGUUUUUUUGGUUUUUUACUUAAAGCAAUUUAGUUUUAGAAUUUAGGUUGUUUGUUUUUCUACUUUUUCAUGACUUAUUAUAAACUUUUUACUAAAUAGAAAAAGUCAAAAUAUGUAGCUUUUUCUAAGUAGGAAAAAUAACAUAUUGAUUUUUUUUACUUUUUAAUACUUAAUAGAAAUAAAAUACUACAAAAACAAAUAACCUAAUAUUUAACACUAUUAAGCAUUAAGGUUCUAUUUAGAAUUAAGUAAAAAAACAAACAUCAUCUUCACACUAAGUAAUAACCCUAUAUUAGUCCUAAUAAGUAAUAAAAUUCCUCUACUAAUACAUGGUAUGGAUAAAAUAUUUACUAAAUUAACAACAUGAAUGUAAGUAAUUUAGAUAUUAGUAGGAUAUAUUUUUGUCUUAAUUAUUUAAAAAUAUAAACAUAUUUAUAUUAGGUUCUUGCUUUUUAUAAAUAUUAAUUCAACAUUUUUAGUAAUUUUUUUUUUAAAUUUAAUAAUUACAUAACCAAAAGUAAAAAAAAAAAAAAAUCAUUUUAUGAUGAUUUUUUGUCAAUUUUCAAUGAUUUCUUUCUAGUUCUUUGUUUUCAGUAGGUUAUUGAGUUAAUAAAGAAAUAAUGAAAUAUAAUGUGAUUGGGUUUUGGGUAUUUUUUUUUUUUAUAAUUUGUUUAAAAAAAAUUAGAUAAUAAAAAUAUCAUAUAUAUAUAUUUUGUUAUAAAAUUUUUAAAAGGAAAAAAAUUGUUGCUAAAUAUGAUUUUCAAAAACAUUUAUCACAAUUUUAAUUCAAAAAAUUGAAAAAUAAAAGUGUAAUGGAAGAUACUACUAAUGUAGUACAAGCAAUAAAUAUUUUUACCCUUAGUUGUGAAAAAUAUAGAGGAAAGAAAUUUUAUGAUGUCUGUUUCUAGAAGGUUGUAGGAAACCUGUUUGCCACGCCAGCCUAUUAAUAUUUUCUUCUUCGAAAAUUAAGAAAUUAUGGCAUUUUUUUAAAAAAAAAUUAUGCUUAAAAAUAGUUUUUUAUUUAGAAUAUAAAACUUAAAUUUAAAGAAAUUGAGAAUAUAUUCUAAAACUGAAUUAUCUUUUAGAAUAAAUUUAAGGGUUUUUUUUUAUUAUGUUCUAUUAAAUAAUAAUUAUUAAAAAUAUGAAAAUUAUUUUUUUUUAAAAAUAUAUUAUAUAUGUGUAUGUCAACUUUAAGAAAAAUAAAUAAAUAAAUAAAUAUAUAUAUAUAUAUAUAUAUAUAUAUUUUAUGUCUGAGAUUUUAAACAAAAUUUUAUUUAUAAAAAUAAUUAAAAAUUAUGUUUUGCCUAACAUGCCUAUGUUCUAGUCGUCUACGGAGUUGGUUCGGGAUGGCAGUGGAAAAUAUACUUUAGAUAUUUUCUCUUCUCUAUAGUCAGAUGCUUCUGCGUAUUUUAAAUGGUAAAGACCAAAACUCAAUUAUGAUAUUAUCGAAAAUAGACCCAGUCCAAAGUGGUCAUUCAUACUGGCAUAGUUCCAGGAAGGUGAUCAACAUCAGGGCUGUCUCAUUCAAGAAAGGAAAUUUGCACCCACGUUUUCUAGAUACAUUCCUACUGUUCUGAUGAUUCGGUAUGCACGAAUUUAUGCAAAGGUUAGGCAGAUUUCUGAAAAUAAUAAAAAUGGUAAUGAAGUGGACCCUUCUCUCUGUAAAAUAUUUUAAAUAAAAAAUACUUAUUUUUCUAAAAAUAAGUAUUUUCAAUAUGUAAUAUAUGUUUUAAAAAAAAAAAUUAAUUUACAAGCUUAUUUAUUUUUAUUUCUUAAAAAUAUUAUCGGCUUUUGUUGAUAAGAUUUGAGGAAAGAAAAAGGGCCACCUCACAUCGACUCUUCCAUGCCCGCAGGCCCCAACGAAGUCGACCACAAAGAUGACGCUAUCUUUUGGAAUUUUUACAGGGAGGUUUUUUCACAUACACACCAACCCAAGCCCACCUUCACCCUAUAAAAACCCCCACCCGGUUCCUCACAGAUCACCCCACUCCAACCAUCAAGCCUAUAUAUCUUCCGAAACUCAACAAUGGGCCUCUGCAAAAUCCUCUCCAUUUCCUCAUUCCUUCUCACCACCCUAUUCUUCACCUCCAGCUAUGCAGCUACGUUCAACAUCCAAAACCAUUGCUCCUACACGGUUUGGGCUGCGGCAGUCCCAGGCGGGGGCAUGCAGCUUGGCUCAGGCCAAUCCUGGAGCCUCAAUGUGAAUGCCGGCACCACUGGAGGCCGUGUUUGGGCCCGUACCAACUGCAACUUCGAUGCGUCAGGGAAUGGGAAGUGUGAGACCGGGGACUGUGGUGGCCUCCUCCAAUGCACGGCCUAUGGUACACCCCCUAACACCUUAGCCGAAUUCGCACUUAACCAAUACAGCAACUUGGACUUCUUUGAUAUAUCUUUGGUUGAUGGAUUUAAUGUUGCUAUGGCCUUUAAUCCUACUUCCAAUGGGUGCACCCGUGGCAUCAGUUGCACCGCCGACAUCGUGGGAGAGUGCCCCGCUGCGCUAAAGACUACCGGUGGUUGCAACAACCCAUGCACCGUUUUCAAGACCGAUGAAUAUUGUUGCAAUUCUGGGAGCUGUAAUGCUACAACUUACUCCGAGUUUUUCAAGACUAGGUGCCCUGAUGCUUAUAGCUACCCUAAGGACGAUCAGACAAGCACCUUCACAUGCCCUUCCGGGACCAAUUAUGAAGUUAUCUUCUGCCCAUAAAUCUAUUAUUUAAAUCAUAUGCUAGUAUGCCUCUACUGGUCUCAACUAUUAGGAGGCAAUGGUAUCCACCUUGGGUUCCAAAAGCCUAGAGGAAUAAAGUUGAGCCCAUAUUCGUGGUCAUGUAUUAAGAUUUCUACACUAGUCGAAGCAAUGGAUGCCUUUUUUUAUAUAGAUAUAUGCUAUCUUCUUCUUCUAAUCUCUGUGGUCCCUUCCAAGUAACAUUUCAUAUAGAUAUAUGAAUUUUAAUGAUUAUUCUUCUUCAGAAUUCUUUUUUUUUUUUUUUUUGAAAAUGAAAUUAAGCUUAACAUGAACAAAAUUCUGCUAUCAUGGUACGGAGAAAUCUUUGCUUGAGAGCGGUGGUUGAGGAUUGAGUCACCUACCCAAGUCAAAUUUUUGUAACAAUUAGAUGUUCAUCUUUAGAGUACUACAAGGAAAAUUGAUGUGAGGAUAAAGACCAGUUAACGAAGCUUGACUGACGUCAAAAUUUUAUUUUAUUUCCUUUUCUCUAAUCCUACCUUGUAGCGGUCCAAAUUAAUUGUCUUGACAAGGAAAUAUAACACAUAGCCAAGGAGGAUUUGCCUAAAAGCCAUCAUCCUGUUUGAAAACUACCUCCCUUAUUGUGCACAUGACACUUUUUCUAAGGGGAAUAAUCCAACCAUACAUUGGACCAAUAAAAUAAGUAUUUUUGGGAUUUUAUUUUUACCUUCACAAAUUGAGUGCGUAAAGUGCGGGGGAAAAAAACUCAUUCAUGCAUUUCAAUAACACUUGUGAAUUUAUUCCAAAAUUACAUUCAAAGUACACCUAUCAUUUUUUUUUACAUCAACUCUCUCACACCUCCAUUUCACCCGCCAUGUUCAUACGGUUUUUUUAUCUCUCACCAACAUAUUCAUAGUCUCAUGUAUUUUCUUAUAAAACAUCUUUAAUUUCAAUUUUUUUUUCACUCUCUAAUCUCUCCAUAUUUAUUGAUUUUAAUCAUUUUUUAGACACAUUAAACUUAAAAUGAUAAUAUAUAAUAAAUAAUUAAUAAUAAAAAAUUAAAUAAAAACAUAAUAUUUAAUGAACAAAAAUUAAAAUAUUAUCUCACAAAUAAUAUACUUGAUAAUUUUAAAUAUUAAUUAUAAUAAUGUUUAAGAUUUAAAUUUAAAAAUUAUGUUUUUAUUAUUUAGAGGCUUAUGAUAUAAUUUUUUUUAUAUUAAUACUAAAUAAAAGAUUUAUUGAUUUUGUAAAUCUUAUCAUACGUAAAAGUAAAAAAUAUCUUUGUAAUAUUAUUUUAUUAUUUUUAUUUUGAUAUAAAAUUUUUCAUUUGUAAUAUUAUUUUAUUAUUUUUAUUUUGAUAUAAAAUUUUUCAUAUCAAAAUCACAAUAAGUGAUAGUAGUUUUUUUUUUGUUAUGGUUUUAAUUGUGGUUUUAACUUUUUACUUGGUUAAAUUUUUUAAUUUUUUAUCAAGAUAAAAUAUAAAAGAAAAUAUGUUUUUUCAUAAAAAAAAAAUACAUUGUUUUAGGGAAAUUGAGAUACUUAUCUCUUUUAUCAUGAUGCAUAUACUCCUUUUGGAAUUCUCGGGAAGUGUUUUUAAAUUCUCUCCCACCUCGAAAAAGACUUUGAAACUUCAAGUAAGAAAAAUAAAUACAUCCUUUAAGAAAAAUGGAUUUUCUUUGAAUUGGUUGCCUCACAAUAUUUUAAAUGAUAAAGACUAAAAUUCAAUUAUGAUAUUAUCGAAAAUAGUCCCAAUCUAACGACUAGUCAAGAUAUUUGAAGUGGCCAAUCGUAUUGGAAGAAUUCCAGGAAGGUGCUCAACAGGGUUGUCUCAUUCAAAUAAGGAAAUUUGAAAUAAAUUUUCUCAAUACCAUGCACCCACGUUUUCUAGAUACAUUCCUACUGUUCUCAGAAUUGAGUGCUCAUGAAUUUACAUAGAAGUUAGGCAGAUUUCUGGAAAUAAUAAAAAUGAUAAUCACGUAGAACCUUGUCUCUGUAAAUUAUUUUAAAUAAAAAAUACUUAUUUUUCUAAAAAUAAGUAUUUUCAAAAUGUAAUAUAUGUUUUUUUUUUUUUUAAAUAAUAAUAAUUUACAAGCUUUUUUAUUUUUAUUUCUUAAAAAAAUUAUGGGCUUUUGUUGAUAAGAUUUGAGGAAAAACAAAAAGGGCCACACUACAUUGACUCUUCCAUGCCUACAGGCCACAACGAAGUCGACCACAAAGAUGACGCCAUCUUUUGGAAUUUUUACAGGACGGUUUUUCCACAUACACACCAACCCAAGCCCACCUUCACCCUAUAUAAACCCCCACCCAUUUCCUCACAGAUCACCCCACUCCAACCAUCAAGCCUAUCUUCCGAUCCUCAACAAUGGGCCUCUGCAAAAUCCUCUCCAUUUCCUCAUUCCUUCUCACCGCCCUAUUCUUCACCCCCAGCUAUGCAGCCACCUUCAACAUCCAAAACCAUUGCUCCUACACGGUUUGGGCUGCGGCAGUCCCAGGCGGGGGCAUGCAGCUUGGCUCAGGCCAAUCCUGGAGCCUCAAUGUGAAUGCCGGCACCACUGGAGGCCGUGUUUGGGCCCGUACCAACUGCAACUUCGAUGCAUCAGGGAAUGGGAAGUGUGAGACCGGGGACUGUGGUGGCCUCCUCCAAUGCACGGCCUAUGGUACACCCCCUAACACCUUAGCCGAAUUCGCACUUAACCAAUUCAGCAACUUGGACUUCUUUGAUAUAUCUUUGGUUGAUGGAUUUAAUGUGCCUAUGGCCUUUAAUCCUACUUCCAAUGGGUGCACCCGUGGCAUCAGUUGCACCGCCGACAUCGUGGGAGAGUGCCCCGCUGCGCUAAAGACUACCGGUGGUUGCAACAACCCAUGCACCGUUUUCAAGACCGAUGAAUAUUGUUGCAAUUCUGGGAGCUGUAGUGCUACAGAUUACUCAAGGUUUUUCAAGACUAGGUGCCCUGAUGCUUAUAGCUACCCUAAGGACGAUCAGACAAGCACCUUCACAUGCACUGCCGGUACCAAUUAUGAAGUUGUCUUCUGCCCAUAAAUCUAUUAUUUAAAUCAUAUGCUAGUAUGCCUCUACUAGUCUCAACUAUUAGGAGGCAAUGGUUUCCACCUUGGGUUCCAAAAGCCUAGAGGAAUAAAGUUGGGCACAUUUUCGUGGUCAUGUAACAAGAUUUCUACACUAGUAGAAGUAAUGGAUGUUUUUUUUUUUUAUAUAUAUAUAUAUAUAUAUAGAUUUAUGCGAUCUUCUUUCUUUCUAACCUCUAUGGUCCCGUCCAAGUAAUAUUUCAUAUAUAUUUUAUUCUAUAUAAUAUCUGCGGAUAAGAUCGGUUAAUGAAGCUUGACUAAAGUCAAAAUUUUAUUUUAUUUCAUUAUCCUACUU